GUGGGGAAUUUUGGACAAUGGGCGAAAGCCUGAUCCAGCAAUGCCGCGUGUGUGAAGAAGGCCUUCGGGUUGUAAAGCACUUUUGGCAGGGAAGAAACAGUGCGUGCUAAUACCAUGCGCGAAUGACGGUACCUGCAGAAUAAGCACCGGCUAACUACGUGCCAGCAGCCGCGGUAAUACGUAGGGUGCAAGCGUUAAUCGGAAUUACUGGGCGUAAAGCGUGCGCAGGCGGCUUUGUAAGACGGAUGUGAAAGCCCCGGGCUCAACCUGGGAAGUGCAUUCGUGACUGCAAGGCUAGAGUGUGUCAGAGGGAGGUGGAAUUCCGCGUGUAGCAGUGAAAUGCGUAGAGAUGCUGAGGAACACCGAUGGCGAAGGCAGCCUCCUGGGAUAACACUGACGCUCAGGCACGAAAGCGUGGGGAGCAAACAGGAUUAGAUACCCGGGUAGUCC
rnacentral:rRNA from 1 species